UACGAGGGGGGCGAGCGUUGUUCGGAAUUAUUGGGCGUAAAGGGUGCGUAGGCGGUUUGGUAAGUCUUGUGUGAAAUCUCCAGGCUCAACUUGGAGUCUGCACGAGAAACUGCCGGGCUUGAGUGUGGGAGAGGUGAGUGGAAUUCCUGGUGUAGCGGUGAAAUACGCAGAUAUCAGGAGGAACACCAAUUGCGAAGGCAGCUCGCUGGGACGUUACUGACGCUGAGACGCGAAAGCGUGGGGAGCAAACAGG
rnacentral:rRNA from 1 species